GGAAAAGAUACGAGUGCUCCUGUGAUUCUUUCUCUGAGACUCUACCUUUAUUUUUACAGCAGUUGGAGCCACCAACGAUGCGACGCAGUUCAUCCAUCGCCUAUGACAAAGUUGUGCUCAGUUAGUCAUGAACUCAACCUACCCAGAGAAAAGCAAGGGAUUUAAGUGAAGCUGAGGUGAGGAAAACUCUACGCAGAGUCAACCCACGUAAAGCUGCUGGACCAGACAACAUCCCAGGCAGAGUGCUCAGAGAAUGUGCUGAACAGCUGGCAGAUGUUCUCACCGACAUCUUCAACAUCUCUCUGAGCAGUGCCGUCGUUCCCACGUGCUUCAAGGCCACCACCAUCGUCCCCGUGCCCAAGAAGUCUUCUGUGUCCUGUCUCAACGACUACCGUCCUGUUGCACUUACACCCACCAUCAUGAAGUGGGUGGCAGUAUGUGGCAGGGACCCGUAUGAAACACGGCCGUGGAGUAGAAACCCUGAAGACCAACCGCUAUAGCCUGACAUAUUUUCGUACCUUAUCUGUGGAGUCAGCGCGUACAAGUCGUCAUUCAAACAAAGGUUCAUUUUCUGCAGGCAGGUUUCUGACAGAAAACAGGCAGAUUUACCCUAUAACAUGCAGCGUUCUAUUGAUGGACACAUAAAGAAAUGAAAAAUUACACGUACUGCACUCUCAAAGACUGAAUGAACCAGCAUUACAGCCAUGGGUCACUGUGAGCAUCACAGGGAAGGUUGAAGCCGCCCACUGCACCUGUAUGGCCGGAGUCGUGGAGACCUGCACCCAUGUCGCUGCUCUUCUGUUUAAUAUAGAAGCAACAGUGCAGAUCUGUGGCACAAGGCCUGUUACAGAUGAACCUGCAUACUGGGUUUUACUGGGUUAUGUGACCAAGAUACAGUCAGUGGUUGGCCAUAAGAUAGACUUCUCCUCUUCAGCUGCCCAAAAAAAGGCUCUUGAUCAAAACAUAAACAGACCAUCCGUAUUGAAAGGUAAAAGGAGCUGUCCUCAAAAAAGAAACAUCCCACCUGCUACUGUGGAGGAGUUGUCACUGCUAUAAUGCCAUAAUGUUUUAUAUAGGGGUCUAGAUUUAUGCCUGAAGUGCACUGC
ensembl:lncRNA